GUCUAUGGCCAUACCACCCUGAACUCGCCCAAUUUGUCCGAUCUGCGAAGCUAAGCAGGGUCUAGUCUUGUUAGUAGUUGGACAGAUGGGAGAAAAAUGAAUAAUUAUGUUCA
rnacentral:rRNA from 1 species